CACAGAGAUAAUAAACCUACAGCAGUGUUUUAAACACAAUACAGGAAGAUGGGGGUUCUUGAGAAGCUCCAUUUAACCUUUAUCCACCAACGUACACCGAAGAGGAGGUUAGAGGUUAGCUCUAAAGCUAACAUCUUCUCAGUGAGACUCAAAGCAUCUGACCUGCCUGCUUUACCGGAACUUCAGAACCAGACCUUUACAGACUGCUGUUCAAAGAAGAGGGGAUGCUACACAAUGGCAAAAAUUGGCCCCACCCCUAUUGUGACGCUGGCAGCACAGAUGUCUUUUGGCUGAUGUAUCAAAGCUGGGGAUCCGGCUCUUUCCUCUACGUGCGCUGGACACCGCAGAAAUCCGAGCAGACAGAGCAUUGCAGUGGCUCCGUGCAGAUAUGCUAUAUUCCAUAUGGGCUUACAAGUGGCUAAAAAGGCUGGAAAUAAAGUGGAUUAUCUAUACUAUUAUCUUGUCAGUCCAAUUUAAACACCGGCAUCACGGUUCCUCUGUACCCCUGCAGCUGCACCCUCAAUCAGAGAUGAAAUAAAAGAGGUCCUGCUGGAGGAACAACCCAGGAUUAUGUUUGCAUCAUCAGCUGAUCUCAAAGCAGCUUACCUAUUGG